UGCAACCGCCAUUUCUCUAAUGGAAGCGAAGCGAUACGGAGCUUAAAAUCGUAGAAAUCCAUAACAACGGUUUCACGCAGCCAUCGCAACCAACAGCAGCAAUUGACCGCCUCUCGAUCGAUUCGUUGUUCCAGGAAACGAUGGAUAUCAGUUGGGCCAAUCGUACCGUAAGCAGCAAGGAAACCAACAACAACCGUUUUACACUGAGCAAUCAACAGCGACCGAUUCGGACAACAUUGACUCGGAUGGAAGCAGCAGCAACAGCGCGGAUUGUCGGUGUUAUUCCAUAUACUGUCUACAGCAAAAACUCCACUAGCUGAUGAACGAUAUGCUACGGCGAAAGUAUCACAAUUUCAAACACAUCGUCCCGACAACAUUAAUUCUACAACAGUACUUGGCGACGGCACCCAGCGAAAACCAUCAUCAUCACUACCACCGACAGCAGUCCACUAAUCCUUCCAUCGAAGGAUCGGAGGGAAAGCGAUAUGUGUCCCAUUUGUGACACAAUUUCCUCCACAAAUCACGACUUUACGGAGCUCAACAACAGAAAAUCCGCGUUUGAGGAUGAUGGGGAGGGUCAGUUUGCGUGGUAAAUUUGCUUCAAGGCGCUUCGUUACUGGAUCGGUACAUGCUACCUCCGCUCGAAUUUGGAGCGUCACAUCAAGCAGUGACAUCCUUAAUUCUGGUCGUAUUGACAGCGCGGAGGCAGAGAUCCAAAUCCAUCGUCGACAUGGCAGAAAAAAAAAUCGUAUAAAGCCUAGCGCCAAACCGAGUCAACUGCCCCUACUGGCAUGUUCCCCUCGGACAUCAGCAUAGGAUCGGAAAACAACAGUCCACUGGAGAAAAUUGCGAUCUCUUCGAAGGUAUUGCCCACGACAGAUUCCACCGUAAAGAAGAUUUUUUCUGAUAUCGAACUCUAGGGGGGAGGUAUUGGAAAAUCGAAAUAAUCACAUCCAAUGUGCAGCGGUUCUAAGCUAACAUGUGGAUGAGUGGAGAAUUCUAUCAAAUUUAAAGAACAAGUACUACGAAUUUUGAUCUACAAUGGUCAAUCCGCAUGUGACUGAACUGGAAGAUUUUUUUCACUAUGCAGCUUCCAUUGGGAUUUCCAGUAAAAAUAGGUAAAUGCUCAAUUAUUUUAAAAAUUUCGCAAAUGUCCGAAAAGGCACACUUUUGAGUACUGUGAUACCCAACUCG